UCGUUAAAAAGAAUCGAGUGCUUGAGUAAGCAUAUAUGGAAUUGCUGAAACAUAACGGGACUUACUCUCAAAGCUAUUUGGCCCAUUUCAAUUCCGAUAAGAAUAUCUAUGAUAUUUCAUUAUCGUCAUAGCAAACAUUGCGCAACCCUUUGGACAAACCGUCAACGGAUCAGGAAGGAACACAUGCAGCUCGAGAGGAUGAUAACGCAAAACACAGAAUGACACUCUGCCAGUGCGGGAUACUCAAUUGUUUCGACAAAUAAAGGGGCCCACGAUUCCGGAAUAAGUCUCCCCGUCUAUCGAUCUCUUCUUCUUCCAUGACUGCUCACGAGAUACUGGAUGGCGGUGCUAAUUUGGGAAUAUCGUAUACGAGGGAUCUCGUGGCCAUUGAUGUACAGCCUUUAGAGCUUGUGCAUGAGAAUUUCGUCGGCUGCGAGUAAAGACAAGUGGAUCACGGAAGUUAAAGAAAAAAAGGAAAGAAGACAUUGUUAAAAGCAAAGGACCUACCUACAUGGUGGACCAUCAUCCCCAUCAGUCAUAAAAUAUGAGAAAGUAUCCCAAAGUAGGAAUGACAAGAAAACAGACCGUUAAUGAGAAUAUGAAAAUGGGUCCGUUUGGUUUAUAUGGAUAAAGGAGGACGACAAUAACCUAAAGGAAGUAAGGGGAGCAUCAUGGCUAUCGACUCUGCCGUUCGGUUGGUUAUCGACACGAUCGUUAAUCUUUUGUCACGGCUCCCGGUCUUUGCUUGGCGUUCCAUGAAGUGCGCCACGCCGCCGCCUUUUGAUGCUCCUCAUUCCUUUCAGGCCCGAUUCCCGUAGCCCCGGCCGAUCAACAAGGAGACCCCGUUCUUGGGGUUUUGUUCGCUAAGUAAUUGUCCGACUGUUGUCGCGGUUAGCUGAAGCCCGGGUCGAAGAAGCUCUUGUGGACCUCGAACCGCCUCACCAUCCACCAUUGCUCUUAUUUCACAUCUGCCCAGUGUGAAAUCCAUUAGACACCGGAUCGACGAUCACGAGUCUUUCCAAGCAGAAAAGUUUCGUUGUGUUUUUGAUAAGGAUGAGUAUAUUUUUUUUUUAUUUAUUUACUAUAUUUGUUCGCCGCUGUGGUUCAUUGUCCUUGUACGAAUAUCUAUGUAGCUAAGAUUGGUUCUGGUUCUGUUCUAGGGUCGAGGAGGGGAUCUUGUUCGAUCCGUCGCCCGAGGCACGUUACGGCAGCCAUUUGUAACCGAAUUAAUUAGGCAAAUCGGUACCCGCGAUGCAGUUACAAUUAAUCUGUGCCCAGUUCACGUAUUACCAGGGACAAACCAGGAGCGUAACUAGCGUACACGAUGUUCGGCAAUUCCGCAUUGUGUUAAAUUUAUGGCACCCACUCAGUAUUAUAUAGCUCAUUUAUUUUUCAGUCUCACGAGCACUCUAGACGAUUACUCAGGAACGGCAGCCAUUAAACAAGAGCUCAAUAGCUCGUUCACGUGUCCAAGUUGAACUGGCCUCGCGAUCUUUUAUCAUUUUCUUCAAAAUUACCAUGUCCAUCAAUAACCCAAAGUGACCAUAAAAUUGAGUGACCGUAUCUCAACAAAAAAUUCACUAUACACAAGAUGAUCCAGAUACCGGAAACCAUAAUGCAACCCUGUUUAAAUGUUGGUCUGGGGCUCACCGGCUGGUUGCGGUGUGAUUUGUGGCGAGCGCUUAGGUCGAAAUUACGUGGAGCCGCGCGCGGUUCUCUCUGCCAGGGUGAUUAGACGUUAUUGAUGUAUCGGACGUUAGAAUCAAGCUGGUCCAGGUGAAUCAGACGUCGGAACGCCGCAUGGAUGAUCUGGUUGAACGACUGAAUUUAUGUGCGACACUUAUCUGAGGGUAGCUAACGGUAUCUUUG